rnacentral:rRNA from 1 species
UAGGGAAUCUUCGGCAAUGGACGAAAGUCUGACCGAGCAACGCCGCGUGAGUGAAGAAGGUUUUCGGAUCGUAAAACUCUGUUGUUAGAGAAGAACAAGGAUGAGAGUAACUGUUCAUCCCUUGACGGUAUCUAACCAGAAAGCCACGGCUAACUACGUACCAG